rnacentral:rRNA from 1 species
UACUGAGACACGGACCAGACUCCUACGGGAGGCAGCAGUGAGGAAUAUUGAACAAUGGGCGCAAGCCUGAUCCAGCCAUGCCGCGUGCAGGAUGACGGUCCUAUGGAUUGUAAACUGCUUUUAUACGAGAAGAAACACUCCUUCGUGAAGGAGCUUGACGGUAUCGUAAGAAUAAGGAUCGGCUAACUCCGUGCCAGCAGCCGCGGUAAUACGGAGGAUCCAAGCGUUAUCCGGAAUCAUUGGGUUUAAAGGGUCCGUAGGCGGUUUAAUAAGUCAGUGGUGAAAGCCCAUCGCUCAACGGUGGAACGGCCAUUGAUACUGUUAAACUUGAAUUAUUAGGAAGUAACUAGAAUAUGUAGUGUAGCGGUGAAAUGCUUAGAGAUUACAUGGAAUACCAAUUGCGAAGGCAGGUUACUACUAAUUGAUUGACGCUGAUGGACGAAAGCGUGGGUAGCGAACAGGAUUAGAUACCCUGGUAGUCCACGCCGUAAACGAUGGAUACUAGCUGUUGGAAGCAAUUUCAGUGGCUAAGCGAAAGUGAUAAGUAUCCCACCUGG